UACGGCAACAUCACGUUGAAAUACCGGUUCCCACACGAUCACCGAAGUUAAGCAACAUUGAGACUGGCCAGUACCUAGAUGGGUGACCGCUUGGGAAUACCAGGUGCUGUAAG